rnacentral:lncRNA from 1 species
AUGAACAAAAAUCUAUUCACCUCUUUUACUACCCCAACAAUUCUAGGUCUACCCACAGUAAUAUUAAUCAUUCUAUUUCCUGCCAUGCUAUUUCCAAUUUCCAGUCAUCUAAUUAGUAAUCGAUUAACUUCCAUUCAACAGUGAUAAUUCAACUUGCACUAAAACAAAUAAUAAUUACCCAUAACAUUAAAGGAUGAACCUGAUCCCUUAUACUGAUAUCCCUAAUUAUCUUCAUUGCCUCAACCAACCUCCUCCAGCUUCUACCCCAUUCAUUUAUAUCAACUACCCAAUUAUCAAUAAAUCUAGGUAUAGCAGUCCCCUGUGAGCAGGUGCAGUAAUUACAGGCUUCCACUUUAAAACUAAAAUCUCCUUAGCUCACUUUUUACCACAAGGCAUACCUAUGCCACUUAUCCCUAUACUAGUACUCAUUGAAACCAUUAGCCUAUCCAUUCACCGAUAGCAUUAGCUGUGCAAUUAACAGCCAACAUUACAGCCGACCACCUGCUAAUACAUUUAAUCAGGGGACCCACACUGGUACUAUCAACUAUUAGUCUUCCCAUAGCUUCAAUUGCUUUCAUUAUUCUAAUACUACUAACCAUUCUCGAAUUCACCAUAGCCCUUAUUCAGGCUUAUGUCUUGACACUACUAGUAAGCCUUUAUAU